UCACUUCGCAACCUGGUCAGGGAGAAGGAGGGAGAGGUCCACGCCAAACCGCGAACAAUGCUUCCUUAGUUCGUGCGUGCAACAAAAGAACCGAGGGAACUUGUUUGAAUUUCAGAGCACGUCCUCUGCUCACACAGAAGGAUGGACUUUACAUCCCCUCCUCCCCCACCACCCCUUCUCCUCAUCAUCACCCCCCUCCCUCCUCACCCGACCCCACCAUCAACAGGGAAGAAAAAAAAAAAAAAACUUGCACACUCUGAGAGCUCAACUGUGCAUGCACUUUUCUAUUUGGUGCUUGUAGACGUUAUGGGAAAGUUGUCUCUCUCCCUCUCCCCAUCCCUCCCUCUUCCGCCUCCUCUUCGUCAGUCAUGUGCUUGGGAUAUGCUCAUGCUUUUUUGCACAGAGCGGCUGUAGCACGCCUAAUGCGGGCUACAGAGAGUUAGCGGCAAUUUUAAAGUCCCCCCAUCACGGCUGGGAUAUUUGAGGGGAACAUAUACCACGUUGCGGUGCACACGGAGCGCGCCGUUCUUCUCCUGCUUGGGACGCUUUUUGAACGCUCGCAGUGAUUUGACUCGCCGUCAGAAACAGUGAUGGAGACGGGGAGCUUUGAAGAACUGCAGGCAGUUGGAAGAAGAGGUCAAAAUGAGAUGUCUGGGAUUUUGCUCUCCAUUGGACCCACAUGAGGCCGGGUGGAGACGUCAUUGACCGCGUCCCAUAAGCAAGUGGCGUAAUGACUGGACUGGUCCACGCUAAAGACAACAGUGAUGCUCAGCUGAUCUCAGAGGUGAGCGAGUUCUCCCGAUCAAGACGGAGGACGACGCCUGAAUUUCAGCAUGACGGAGGACUCGAGAUGUCCACUCAUGUAUCUCAUAAACUCUCGGAACAGUCUCUCUACAACACUUGAACCUCCUCUGUACCCAAUUUCAGCAUUUCUGUCGAAAUUCAAGGAGAUGAAGCUGACAAUGACCUGAAGCCUACCGAGACUUUACCCUGAGAGGCACUGCGGUAUUUAUGUAUGGAUUUUCGUACGUGAGAACACUGUCGAAAAUAAGACAAGAAUAUUUUACACAUUUAAACUUGCAUUUAUUUCAUGUAAAUGAUUGAGUCUAACAAGUAUGUCUUUUGACAGCCAAAUAAAGACUUUUUCCCCCCUUGAA